UACGGGGGGAGCAAGCGUUGUUCGGAUUUACUGGGCGUAAAGGGCGCGUAGGCGGCCACCGCAAGUCGGUUGUGAAAUCUCCGGGCUUAACCCGGAAAGGUCAAUCGAUACUGCGGGGCUAGAGUGCAGAAGGGGCAACUGGAAUUCUCGGUGUAGCGGUGAAAUGCGUAGAUAUCGAGAGGAACACCUGCGGCGAAGGCGGGUUGCUGGGCUGACACUGACGCUGAGGCGCGAAAGCUAGGGGAGCGAACGGG
rnacentral:rRNA from 1 species